rnacentral:rRNA from 1 species
AUUGAACGCUGGCGGCAGGCCUAACACAUGCAAGUCGAACGAGUGGCGUACGGGUGAGUAAUGUCUGGGAAACUGCCUGAUGGAGGGGGAUAACUACUGGAAACGGUAGCUAAUACCGCAUACCAUCGGAUGUGCCCAGAUGGGAUUAGCUAGUAGGUGGGGUAAAGGCUCACCUAGGCGACGAUCCCUAGCUCGUCUGAGAGGAUGACCAGCCAAACUGGAGCUGAGACACGGACCAGACUCCUAAGGGAGGCAGCAGUGGGGAAUAUUGCACUAUGGGCGCAAUCAUGCUACAGCCAUGCCGCGUGUAUGAAGAAGGCCGUCGGGUUGUAAAGUACUUUCAGCGGGGAGGCGUUACCCGCAGAAGAAGCACCGGCUAACUCCGUGCCAGCAGCCGCGGUAAUUC